AGUGAACGCUGGCGGUAGGCCUAACACAUGCAAGUCGAACGGCAGCACAGUAAGAGCUUGCUCUUACGGGUGGCGAGUGGCGGACGGGUGAGGAAUACAUCGGAAUCUACUUUUUCGUGGGGGAUAACGUAGGGAAACUUACGCUAAUACCGCAUACGACCUACGGGUGAAAGCAGGGGAUCUUCGGACCUUGCGCGAUUGAAUGAGUCGAUGUCGGAUUAGCUAGUUGGCGGGGUAAAGGCCCACCAAGGCGACGAUCCGUAGCUGGUCUGAGAGGAUGAUCAGCCACACUGGAACUGAGACAGGGUCCAGACUCCUACGGGAGGCAGCAGUGGGGAAUAUUGGACAAUGGGCGCAAGCCUGAUACAGCCAUACCGCGUGGGUGAAGAAGGCCUUCGGGUUGUAAAGCCCUUUUGUUGGGAAAGAAAAGCAGCAGGUUAAUACCCCGAUGUUCUGACGGUACCCAAAGAAUAAGCACCGGCUAACUUCGUG
rnacentral:rRNA from 1 species